UUAAUAGUUCCAUUGUUUAUUGGAAAUAUCAUUUCUCAGUUAGCUCCGCCCAUUAAAUUAAUAAAUCCCGCCCACUGGGACUGCUUUCUGGGACUGCUGGGACUGCUCUCUGGGACAGCUGGGACUGCUGGGACCGCUCUGGGACUGAUGUGAGACUGCUCUGGGACCGCAGUGGGACUGCUUUAGCAGUCCCAGAAAGCAGUCCCCGGGACUGCUCUGGGACUGCUUUGUGUCAGGUUGGGUCUGGUCGGUACUGUAUAGUAAAUUCAGUAUGCAGAUUGUUGAAGGGAAAACAUCAAGACAAGGCGAGGAAGACGACAAAAGAUGAUUACCCAGAUUGAGGAUCCCAGUGUUCUUUGUCUCAAGCUACUCAGCCUACGAGGAGAAAAUUAAAAGAUCUGUCAUGAAGAAGAGGCGGGUU